CCUACGGGAGGCAGCAGUGGGGAAUAUUGGGCAAUGGAGGCAACGCUGACCCAGCAACGCCGCGUGAAUGAUGAAGGUCUUCGGAUUGUAAAGUUCUUUUCUAAGGGAAGAAGAAAGUGACGGUACCUUAGGAAUAAGCCUCGGCUAACUACGUGCCAGCAGCCGCGGUAAUACGUAGGAGGCAAGCGUUAUCCGGAAUGACUGGGCGUAAAGGGUGCGUAGGUGGUUUGACAAGUUAGUAGCGCAACUCCGGGGCUCAACUUCGGAACUACUACUAAAACUGUUGGACUUGAGUGCAGGAGGGGCAAUCGGAAUUCCUAGUGUAGCGGUGGAAUGCGUAGAUAUUAGGAGGAACACCAGUGGCGAAGGCGGAUUGCUAGACUGUAACUGACACUGAGGCACGAAAGCGUGGGGAGCAAACAGGAUUAGAUACCCGUGUAGUC
rnacentral:rRNA from 1 species